rnacentral:rRNA from 1 species
AUUGAACGCUGGCGGCAUGCCUUACACAUGCAAGUCGAACGGCAGCACGGGGGCAACCCUGGUGGCGAGUGGCGAACGGGUGAGUAAUGCAUCGGAACGUGCCCAGUAGAGGGGGAUAACCAGUCGAAAGACUGGCUAAUACCGCAUACGACCCAAGGGUGAAAGCGGGGGACCGUAAGGCCUCGCGCUAUUGGAGCGGCCGAUGUCUGAUUAGCUAGUUGGCGGGGUAAGAGCCCACCAAGGCGACGAUCAGUAGCUGGUCUGAGAGGACGACCAGCCACACUGGGACUGAGACACGGCCCAGACUCCUACGGGAGGCAGCAGGGGGGAAUUUUGGACAAUGGGCGCAAGCCUGAUCCAGCCAUGCCGCGUGCGGGAAGAAGGCCUUCGGGUUGUAAACCGCUUUUGGCAGGAACGAAACGGCGCAGGCCAAUACCUUGCGCUAAUGACGGUACCUGCAGAAUAAGCACCGGCUAACUACGUGCCAGCAGCCGCCGUAAAAC